rnacentral:rRNA from 1 species
UACGGAGGGGGCUAGCGUUGUUCGGAAUUACUGGGCGUAAAGCGCGCGCAGGUGGCUUUGUUAGUCGGAGGUGAAAGGCCUGGGCUCAACCUGGGAACUGCCUUCGAUACUGCGAAGCUAGAGUCCGGAAGAGGGUAGUGGAAUUCCCAGUGUAGAGGUGAAAUUCGUAGAUAUUGGGAAGAACACCGGUGGCGAAGGCGGCUACCUGGUCCGGUACUGACGCUGAGGCGCGAAAGCGUGGGGAGCAAACAGG